GGACACUACAAGCAAAUGUACCAAACUUUAAGACAAAGUGUAACUAUUUUAAUAUUACAAGAUAUCGUAAACUCAUUGUUAUUCGGAAAAGGACACUCAAGGGUUUAAGUAUAUGCUCAAAGUGCUGAGAUGUACCAUUGAUUUUACACAUAAAGCACCAAUUUUGGUACAUUUGCAGCACGUGGCAGCCAUGCUGACAAUUUGUCCCUCUAUUGUCAUAUUUUGCAAAUGGUUAUGUAUUAUGUUUCGCUUUUAACAGCUAACGGAGCAUUAGGCCUACACCCACCGCCAGCGGCUUAAGGGAAUGCCGUUAAACGAAAACUUUUGAGCCCGGUGGCAACGUCGGCGCUUCGACCGCGCCGACAAAUGACAUGCUAAACUAAUUUUUGGUGUCAUCCGCACAUGUUAAACUCGGAAUGCCAGUGACAGAAGACGCCCCACAAGUGACUUAUCCUGCGGCGCAAGCUUGAUUAAUUUUUGGCUGACAAGUGCUUAGUAAUAAUAGAGUGCGAGAGAGUUGAAAGACACAAAUCAUUGCGGAAUGACUGUUGCGGUGCGGCUAAUUGUACGGUUUUUUUUUUGUGAGUGCAGCAACAAAAUAACACAGACCACGCUAAAAGUAGAUUGAGUGAAAGAGAGAGAGAGAGAGAGAGGACAAACCGCAAGCGUAUGAUUCGUUUACUGUUGCUGCUAUCGUUGAUGCUGAUUAUGCUAUGUCGGGCAUAGCGGAGCACAUGCGUGGAGCUGCUGCGACAAACGGUAUCGGUGGAGGACGGUAAAGACGAAGUGGAUGAGUUGCAUCUAAAUGAGAACAACAAUAACAACAACGACAAACAAUCAACAAUGAAAUCAACUGUAAACGUUACGAGACAAAUGACAAAUGGCAACGUCGCACCGCCAGACGAUCUGUGGCAAGGGAUAAGCCCUCUCCGGCAACCAAUUAAACAGAAUAGUGGCAAAUGUCUGGGAUUAGUCGGGCAAUGAGCGCCGCUCGCCCGAUCCCAACCAGGCGCGCUGACUUCGCGUGUCAAGGCUAAAACUCAAUUGACAACGGAAUACCCAUGGCAGCCAAAUGUGCCGCCAAUUACUCACAUCCAAAUGCCGAGCACGGGCUGGACAGUGGCUGCCGCUUGGCAGGAUGUCUCCACUGUGCAGGCAACGAACGCUGAACAAAGGGGAUGCAAAAAGACAAUAAUUUGGCUUUUUUAGGAAUCAUUUGCAAUCAACGUUCUCUUUGCUGCAAGAGCAUAAGGCUUGUUGUGGGACUUGGCUGUGUAAUGGGUCCGAUGGGAGCUGUUAAGGCUCUUGCCUGGCUGCAGCGAGUCGAGUCCUUGUUGGCAGUUUCAAUUUCGUCGUAUUUAUUUCACUCAUCUCCUGCUCCAAGUGCAGCAACGCAUAUAAAUGGCGGUCAAUUGCAGCUCGUUUGUCGAGCCACCGUUUGCCCUGCGACCCGAUUAGAAAAUGGCCAACUGGGGACAAAUUCCGAGCGACGCCCCAACACACUAAUUAUGUUUUGCAGUCAAUGGCAAAUGGCGUUGGUCCUCGCAUGCCCUGCCUCUACGGAUAUCGGUGUGGAUGCAGUUGACUGCGUUUUCAAUUACCUGCCUGACUACUUACAAGGGAAAGGUCACGUGUAAUGGAGAUUUACGUUAUGUUCGCGAUUGCAAUGCUAUACUUAAGUGAUAUCAAUGGUAAUGUUAGGAACGAGUCGAAUGUGGUAGGUGUCUUCGGACGUGGAGUAAUUUUGUAUAAGAGCUUAAAAUAAAUAAUCUUGAAUUUAGAAAACCUAGCAUAA